CAGUCGCCGCGGUAAUACGAAGGGGGCUAGCGUUGCUCGGAAUGACUGGGCGUAAAGGGCGCGUAGGCGGCGAUCAAAGUCAGGCGUGAAAUUCCUGGGCUCAACCUGGGGGCUGCGUUUGAUACUUGAUUGCUAGAGUGGGGAAGAGGGUCGUGGAAUUCCCAGUGUAGAGGUGAAAUUCGUAGAUAUUGGGAAGAACACCGGUGGCGAAGGCGGCGACCUGGUCCUUGACUGACGCUGAGGCGCGAAAGCGUGGGGAGCAAACAGGAUUAGAUACCCGUGUAGUCCCUGUCUCUUAUAC
rnacentral:rRNA from 1 species